CGCGGGCUGGAGCAAUGGAAGCUCGUCGGGCUCAUAACCCGAAGGUUCUAGGUUCGAAUCCUAGGCCCGCUACUA
rnacentral:tRNA from 2 species